rnacentral:misc_RNA from 1 species
AUGAAGAAAAUAUGAAGGGCAGCAACAACAAUCCUAAUGCUGUGAAGUUGAGCAGGGCUUGCUCUGUUUCAUCAGCAGCUUCAGCAAACAGGUUCAGACUAGAAAGACAAGGGAGCAAGAAUACAACUACAUCACCAUUUGAAUCAGUGAAAAGAGCUUUCUCAAUGGGAAGAUCUUCAUCAGUUUCUGAGAAGUAUUGCAGGAUUCAUGAUCAGGGAUUCACCGUUUCGUCUCCGAUAUUGGAUGAUGUUGCUGAAGCUCACGAGGAUAGUAGGGA